rnacentral:rRNA from 1 species
AGCGAACGCUGGCGGCAAGCUUAACACAUGCAAGUCGAACGCCCAGCAAUGGGAGUGGCGGACGGGUGUAUAACACGUGGGAAACUACCUUUCAGUACGGAAUAACUCAGGGAAACUUGUGCUAAUACCGUAUAAUGUCUCCGGACCAAAGAUUUAUCGCUGAAAGAUGAGCCCGCGGCAGAUUAGCUAGUUGGUGGGGUAAUGGCCUACCAAGGCAACGAUCUGUAGCUGGUCUGAGAGGAUGAUCAGCCACACUGGGACUGAGACACGGCCCAGACUCCUACGGGAGGCAGCAGUGGGGAAUAUUGGACAAUGGGCGCAAGCCUGAUCCAGCUAUGCCGCGUGAAUGAUGAAGGCCUUCGGGUUGUAAAGUUCUUUUAGGUGGGAAGAUUAUGACGGUACCACCAGAAAAAGCUCCGGCUAACUUCGUGCCAGCCGCCGCAGUAA